rnacentral:tRNA from 1 species
GCACGGAUGGCCGAGUGGUCUAAGGCGCCAGACUCAAGUGUUCUGGUACUCGUAUGGGUGCGUGGGUUCGAAUCCCACUUCGUGCA